GAAACAGAAACAAAAUAUCAGGCGGCUAACAACAAUAAUCCUAAAUUUUCUUUUAUAUAAUUGUUAACAUCUAAAUUCCGCCCUGUUACAAUACCUCCUCAUUUUCCGCCAUCUUGUCGAGCUACUGCGCAGUGGGAUCGCAUCUAUAAAAGCAGAAAGUGACGUAAAACGCCCGCAUUGAUCAGUCAUCGUGUUUCUGUGGUGACGUGUUUGUGUGGUGUAGCUCCGGAACUAAACCAGUGCCAUUUUGUGCCAGGUCGGAUACAGUCCCAUUGCGUUUCGCGUGGGUCUGCAUCCGUCGGCCGCCAUCUUGGUCGCCGCUGGGGCGUGGUUGCUGCCAGCUACAAAAUGGGUUUGUAGAACGGUAUCAUGUACCUAUUUAUUUAGUUUUAAGUAAUUGUAAAUUUUGUUUCAAUUUGUCUAUUAUUGCAUAAUGGUUAAAUUGGAAUUUCAGCUCUAUUCAUAUUGAAUAAAAAUUGUAACAUAUGUUCUAAUAUGAUAAUAAAAAAUAUUUUAAAAAUCUUGUAUCAAUGGAUUUUAUUUAAAUGUGAUUUUACCCUAUAAAUGUCAUUUACAUGAGUCAUCGUCAUCAUCACUUGGAGGCGAAAUAUGGCGGCGUUGCGUGUUUGGCGCUUUCAACUACUUCGAGAUAGUUCGAGAAUGACGUUCUCGUCGCGUCUGCGGAGGUGAUUCAUAGCUGCCUUUGAACACGGCCCUGCGGUGCCACUACGUGAAAUGUCUGCACGAUCGUAACAAUCCAGUCCCAGUUGUCAGCCCACUAGGUAAAAGUUAGGUAAUAGCAAUAUGAUUUCCUAACUUCACCUUGAUUUGAAGCCUGAACAUCGGCUUCUUCGUGUGUAACUAUACCUUUAGAUCUGACAGAAACUUUGCGUGAAGCAGCAACCACGACGAUCGAGGUAUCGCAGCUACCCGUCGCAACGCGUUUUUAUUGAGCAAUGUGUCAUCACGGUACAAUGACUCAACUCUGAAUUGAAUCGAAGUAAAGAGGUUAGUGGGUGAAUCACUUGCUAAUUCAAAAGGCAGUGAUUGUUUACCGGAAUAAAAUGAAAACAUAAUGUUUUUGUAGAUCUUUUUCUCUAAGUUAAUAAAAUACGUUUAAGCUUUAUGAUAACCCAUUCAAGCAGGGCAUCAAUAUAUCUUCGCACAGGCUUCAAACUGCAAGGAGACUCGAAAUAGUUUACGUUACUAUCUACCUACCGACUUCGUACAUACACCUUGACGAACCGAGAAUUAAUUCAGUGGCGCUGCACGCAACGGUUUUUGUAAAUUUUGGCUAUUCCUGGCUUAUUUUCUUACAAGUGGAGCUCACAACGAGAGGGCAACGUCUAAGUUACGUAUCGAUGCUGGUAAAUAAAACGAUUACAAAAAACAAACACUGAAAUUCAUAAAUGGAUCGGGUAUGUCCUGUAAAUUAUGGAAUCACUCUUAAUGUCUUGACAAAGAAACUGGAAUAUAAGAUGGAAACGCAACUAGCUUUACAAUAAUUAAAACUAUACUAAAUGAUAGGGAUAUUCGUCUCUGCAUAUGUGAAAUGCAAACUACUACUCUGGAGCACAGACUCGUGGUCGAGUCAAGUUUCCUAAGAUCAAAAUGAUAUCAAGGUGAUGUCCUUUCUCACUCGAAGAAGGCUUACCAGCACCAGUUGACGUUAGCGAGUCCACGCUGCGGCCUAAAGACAGAUAAGUUCCAGAACUAGUCUUUUAGGCGGAAGUUUGCAUACUAAAUCUGCAUAUUUUAGUUAAUAGCUUUUGAACAGAAUAUAAGAAAUCUAUAACACGACAA